GGGCUUGGUUUGGUUUUGACAGCAAGGUAAAUGGGUACGUAAGCAUGCAGGCACAGGUAACAAAUGCCUUAACAAGGGUUACAAAACAAACAACAGGCGAAUCAAAUUACGCUUUUGCUGCUUAAUCGAAGUUUAGUAGAUUAGCUUAAUCCGUGCCAGCGGUGCGGAGCAAAACGUUCCUCCAAGACCUAUUCUCUAUGGUCGACGAUACAGGGACGCACGCAAAAUAGAGAUAGUUUUUAUGAGACUUUGGCAUAAUUACGAAAUUAAAAAAGAUAAGGAUUGAAUUGGGUGUCUUUCUCCGUCUCAAUCACUAAAAUUAAUGAAAGAAUAAGCAUGUAGAAAGCUUAUUAGUUUCUUGUUUGGACCAGGGUUCGACUCCCUGCAAGUCCACGC
rnacentral:tmRNA from 1 species